AACAGUCUUAGUCUUGAACUUAUCAUUACUUAUAAUUAAGAUUAUACAUGCAAGCCUCCACAUCCCUGUGAAUUCCUAGUAUCAGGCACGCCCACUGCAGCCCACAACACUACGCCCCUUGCCACACCCACACGGCUACUCAGCAGUAAUUAAUAUUGAACCAUAGGCACACGCCUGAUUCAGCUAUAGUUUAUUCUAACGCUGGUAAAUUUCGUGCCAGCUACCGCGGUUAUACGAACCAAGCUAAAAGUAAUGUUUUCGGCGUAAAGCAUGGCUAUAUUACACUAAUACUUUAAAGCCCCAGCCCCACCCAAUAGUUAAAUAUUUACGCCAACAAUCGUCUAAUCACUUUAACCUAACAGCCCUUUGACCCAUGAAAUCACGGACACAAACUGGGAUUAGAUACCCCACUAUGCCACGAAGUAAACUACGACUUUUACAUGUUCGCCAGAAAAUUACGAGCAAUUUUAGCCUAAAACUCAAAAGACUUGACGGUGUCCCAAACUACCUAGAGGAGCCUGUUACAUAAUCGACAAUCCACGAUCAACCCCACCACCCCUCGAACCCAACCUUCCAGCCUAUAUACCGCCGUCACCAGCUUACCCCUCAAAAGCAUCAAAGUAAGCAUAAUAGUAUUCUACUAAUACGUCAGGUCAAGGUGUAGCCUAUGAGGUGGCGCCAAUGGGCUACAUUAUCUAACAUAGAUCACCUACGAACUAUUUUUUGACAAAAUCAUACAAAGGCGGAUUUAGCAGUAAAUUAAGCAAGAAUACUUAACUUAACAUUUGCCCUGGGACAUGUACACACCGCCCGUCACCCUCCUCAACAGCAUCUCAUUAUAAUAUAUAAAUUCUUAAACCCACACACCCUAGAUGAGGCAAGUCGUAACAAGGUAAGCGUACUGGAAAGUGCGCUUGGAAAUCA
rnacentral:ncRNA from 1 species